GGAACGGUGUAGGAAAGAUCGCUUGCUUUGCAAGCAAGAGGCUGGGGGUUCGAGUCCCCCACAGUCCA
rfam:Candidatus Buchananbacteria bacterium RIFCSPLOWO2_01_FTLL_40_23b rifcsplowo2_01_scaffold_48152, whole genome shotgun sequence.